rnacentral:piRNA from 1 species
UUCCACCUCAGUCUUGUGCAUGAGGUAGGG